rnacentral:rRNA from 1 species
UGAGCUGAGAGUUUGAUCCUGGCUCAGGACGAACGCUGGCGGCGUGCUUAACACAUGCAAGUUGUACGCUGUAUUUUUCGAAGUGGAGACACGGAGGGA